rnacentral:lncRNA from 1 species
AUGAACAGUUUUGUCAGUGGACUUGAAAGAGACUGCAAAGUUCAGUCCUUGAGAGUUCCUCCAGCUUCCUCUGGCGUUCCUGCUGCCUGAGAUGUUCUGCUGUGUUGGGAGACCCCCUCCAUCCUCUCCCUGGUGAGGAAGAGGACGCAACUGUGCCCUGGAAGACCAGCUGGGUGGAGAGCGAAGGCAGGACUGGCUCUGGGAGUGGGCUCCUGAUGAUGAGGUUGAGAUUAAAUGUGGAUGAACAUCACUCCCCCCCUGCUGAUGGAGAAACACAGUUUCCUUGCCUCUCUCUGCCUGCCCUUCAACACCAAAUGGGUGAGUUUUUUUUUUUUCAAUCCUUGUACCCAUAUUUCUUUCCAACUGCUGGGUCGGGGUUGCCAUAUCA